ensembl:lncRNA
GCCCACUCAUGGUGCUGGGUUACGGGGGAACCAGUGGGGUGGGGUUCUGGAAUGAUCUGCUUGGCUCUCCGCAAAUGGCUGUUUGCCAUGGCAACGGGCACUGCAGAGACAGCCUCAUCAUCUGAGAAUCUGCUUUCCGGGGACAUUUCAGACCCCUUCCCCUCAGGGUGCUGGAGCAGGUGACUCACAGGAUGCAUCCGGGGGCCGGAGAGAAGCCCUGAGCUCCCCAGUUCCCCUUCUGAGUGGGAGCCCACAUCUCCCUGUGCGCUUUCUCCAGGAGAUUCGGAUCCAGGGAUGAUGGAGGCAAAGAGGAAGGAAAACGCAGCAUAGCCUCUGAGAAUCCGCCAGCCACAGAGGGUCCUUCCCCAUCCCGCUCCCACCAGCAGUUCCUACAAAGACACGAAUAGACACAGUCCUGCCCCCAGGAGCCCCAGCAGGCCAGGGCAGAGGGAGCUCAGCUGAGUAUGGCCCCAAGGAGCACCCACAGGGAGAGAUGGAGUCCUGGGACGUUAAGGAGAUGGAAACUACUGCAGAUUCCACCAGCAUCCCAAACUCACUUCUCUACGGUUCUCCCCACCCGCUGUGCUGCUCCUCCUGUCAGAACAAGCGACGCCCUCGGCUCGGGGAUGACGGCUCUGCUGACGGAGCGCCUCACCCAAAGUCGUGCUCCAUCCCGGACAGCUCACAUCCAACGACCAGUAACGGGGCCGGAGGGGGGCAUGAAGGCCUGGUCCUCUCACCCCAAACUGGAACAGCCCUCAGGGGUCAUCCUAUCUCACCGCCGCCCACAGGACCCGCCAAGGCUUCUCCGGAGACUGGACCACGGCUCAGCGUCUCCCUCUGCCGCUCCUGCUUCCUCCCCUUCCCACCUCCUGCAGGUGCGGAGCAAUCACCCCCACGGGACUCGCGGCAACAUGAGCCUCAUAGGGCUGUUUUACUGUCCCUCCACGUGGGAUUCUUAUGCCAAACUGAUGGGUUCAAAUACCAGUUCCAAACUCACUAGCUGUGUAACUUUGGGCAAUAACCACUCAGUGCCUCAGUUUCCCCAUCUGUACAAUGGGGCGAUAUGACAAUUAAUGAGCUAAUACUUAUAAGGCCCUUGGAGCAGUGCUUGGCACAAGGUAAAUGGUAAAAAUAGAAAAAGGUAUUAUCUCUUAGCUCCCCCCAAAAAAAGCUCUGUGCUCCAGAGCACAGACUUCCCCCCAUUGCCAUUGUCAAUGGGGGAGCCGCCCCCCAGGCACGCUCACUAUCCAG